AACCAUAUCGUUAGGAAGUAGCGAGCAUCAACUUUGAUUGGUAUCGAAAACUCUUCGUUACUCGUAAACGCUCUAUAUCAAUUAUUUCCUCAUUUUAUACCGGAACACGACGCCAAUCUCCGGCAUCAUUUCAUUCACCAUUAUUGCAAUUGGUAAGCGUGAUACGAUCUUGCGAAAGGACAUGGAUCAAAACUUCACGUAACUAGGUUAUGUACGGUGAAUCAGAUGUCGUAUGACUGGCUUGAUAAACGUGUUAAAAGAUCUACGUUAAACUACCAAAUUCUAACCUCAAAUAUUUCAAUCGUUCAAACCGAGACCUGUUCUUAUCACUGCAGCAUUGACGCUCGCGCCAUUAGGAUUUCAACAGAGGUUUAUCUCGCAUUUAGAAUCUUCACGUGAGCACUGCACGGUUAUUAGUUAGCGGAUAGUUAGAGACGGUCGGAGGCCAAGCUAAUCUAGAGGAACCUUGGGAUCUCACCCACACGCGUUUAUCGUCAGCGAGACGCUAAUAUCAUACCGGUGACUAUAUAUAUGUACAUACGUAUACGUGGUUCCACACAAUUACGUUAAAGUACUGUGAGUUUCAGUCGAAGCUGCAGAAACGUCUGUGAAACGAUUCGUUUUAUUUUGCAGACACUAUGAAGUGUGUAAAAAGAUUGAUUUAAAUUAAUUUUUUAAAUAUAUCUAUGAGUGCUGUCAUUAAUAUUAUUUAGAAAAAAGAUACUUUCAAUUUUAGCGAACAAAGGCAUUCAACGUCUGAAGAAAGUGUGUUCUUCUCUUUUAAUUUUCUUCUGGUUGGAUCAACUGGUACGCGAAGGUAAAGACGACACAAGCUCUGGCAUAAGCGCGUGCCAUGCAACCGACACGACUUACGCAAACGUAAACGCGACCUUCGACGUCGUCUGUGCCCAACAUGUGUGUACUAACCAUCUACUAACCAGGUUGGCCAACUUCAUUCGCAUUCGUCUCGACUGCCAUCGUUCUAACCUUCUUGCGCCGGAUGAUUGCACAAAUGCACGACAGAAUUCUCGUAACAAAGUCACGAGAAACUGCGCUUCACUAUGAAGAGGUAAAACGAAUUGAGUAUACGGGCUAAGAAGGCUGAAGAAGAGGUCUGAAUAUUUACGGAUGAACAAGUCUGACUUACCUGCGACUAGAAUUCUCAAUUACAGCUCACACCUGACAUUUCAACACUCCUGAGCAAUGUAUAAGGUCCCAGUAAUUUAACCUGAAUAAUCGUUAUAGCUCAAUGCCAAGAAAAAGAGAUAAAGUCUGUACCCAGGUGAAUCGAAGGUCCCUCAGCGUUGAAAAGAUUUUCAAGCCAUGCUCGGGGGAUCAUGAAAAUCCAGGAUACCGCUGUAGAUUGAGUCUUCUACUUAUUCCGUUAGAUGGCUUUACUCCCUGCAAUAAGACAAGUGAGCAUCGAGUCAAAGCAGUGUAUAAGAUGAAAAACAACGCGGGUCUACGAAACAAGACGCCACCGUAGCGACAGUAGCGCCACUAGCGGCUCGACCAUGAAUUAAAGAGAUCAAUCGAACCCUCCAGACUAGAAGGUGACUGUAUACAUUACCUCUGGACACAGAUAUCUCUUCUGGCAAAGAAAAAAGCAAAAUUGAAGGUGCUUAGGGAGAAGUCUAAUAUAAUGUAACAUAAGAGUUUGCAGAAGAUGUUUAUCUUUGUUGUACAAUCAUAUUAUUAAUAAAUACUAUAAAUACAUA